UUAAGCCAUGCGAGUCGAACGAGUUUAGGCUCGUGGCGUACGGCUCAGUAACACGUGGAUAACCUGCCCUUAGGACCGGGAUAACCUUGGGAAACUGAGGAUAAUACUGGAUAGGCAAUUAUUUCUGCAAUGGUUUUUUGUUUAAAUGUUUUUUUCGCCUAAGGAUGGGUCUGCGGCCGAUUAGGUAGUUGGUUAGGUAAAGGCUUACCAAGCCGUUGAUCGGUACGGGUUGUGAGAGCAAGAGCCCGGAGAUGGAACCUGAGACAAGGUUCCAGGCCCUACGGGGUGCAGCAGGCGCGAAACCUCCGCAAUGUGAGAAAUCGCGACGGGGGGAUCCCAAGUGCCAUUCUUAACGGGAUGGCUUUUCAUUAGUGUAAAGAGCUUUUGGAAUAAGGGCUGGGCAAGACCGGUGCCAGCCGCCGCGGUAA
rnacentral:rRNA from 1 species